AUUCCAAGUUUACUAAUUUGAAAGAUUAGAAUGGUCUGCUUGGCAAAUGAGAGGUACCACAGGCUGCCCUGGUUGUUGGAUUGAAGGUAGCCUCAAUGCUGCUGUUUUCCAACCCACUUUUAUACCAAGCAACGUUACUUAUCUCUGUGGCUAAUGCGGCCAACUCAUGGCUUGAGAAGGAAGGAGGCUCAGCGUAGUCAACAAACUCAGGCCCCA
rnacentral:misc_RNA from 1 species